rnacentral:lncRNA from 1 species
UUCGCCGUGUUAGCCAGGAUGGUCUCGAUCUCCUGACCUCGUGAUCCACCCGCCUUGGCCUCCCAAAGUGCUGGGAUUACAGGCGUGAGUAACCGCACCCGGCAGUAGUACCUACUUUUUAAAGUGUAAGCAAGGAAAGUUGGCCCGCACCUGUAGUCCCAUCUACCUGGGAGGCUGAGGUGGAAGAAUUGCUUGAGCCCAGUUGGUCGAGGCUGCAAUGAGCCUUGAUCACGCCACUGCACUCCAGCCUGGGCAACAGAACAAGACCCUGUCUCAAACAAAAAAGUGUAUGUAAGAAUAAAAAUUAAUAGAUUAGGCACAGGAUGGGUGUUUAAUUCUCGGCAAUCACCACUAAGUUUUCAUACUGAGGCUUAUUCAUUCCAUGGGCAAAACAUUGCGCUAUGUGUGGUGCCUGGGGUGGGCUCCAAAUUCCAGUCCUCUCCUCGCUUGCGAUAGCUGUGUGAUCCAUUCCUAAGUUUCCUUAUUUGUCCACAGAGCGUACACAGGGUUUUUAUGAAAACUAGAUCAGAUAAUCAGACACAGUUAAAAUAGCACGCGCUCAGUAAAAUUACAUAUUAGUGGAAGAGACAAGCCUUGAAUAAAUCGCCUUUCGGGGAGUAUGACCCCCUCCCCGAAACCCACUCAGGCGCUGCUCGCUCGCACGCCCACUGAGCUCGGAGCGGAGCCCGAGCCCUUUCCCAGCACACAGGGUUCAUUUCCAGACUGAAAGACAUCCCAGAGACAACUCCAGAGGCCAAGGCGGGUCGGCUUCCUGCGUGGGCCCAGCGCCGGGCACUGAAAGGUGAAGGCGCUUCUUCCGCUCGGAGGAAAGCCUCUGGCGGUUCUCGCUUCGCGGGCUCGGGAUGGACACGCGCGUAGGGCUGGGGAGGUGACGCGCGGACAACGCCGGGGCGAGCAAACUACAACUCCCAGGCAGCUGUGCGCCACGCGGGCGGCCUACUGUCGGGUGUGGCCGCGAGGGGCGGCCUAUAUAAGCUCUUGCUCGCGGCUUCAGCGCCCUUUCUCCCCGCCGCAUUCCCGGUGUCGACUUACUAGCUGCAAGCCUCUGCCUGCCUUCCUGCGCGCCGUUCCCCGCUAGUCGCUGCUGCUGGCGCGCACUCGCCGGGUUUUUCCUCCCACGGCCUCGAGAUGGUGGUGAAUGUGGCACGGAGGAGCCGGGCCUUCCAACCCGGUGGGCCCGAGCUCCGAAAGGCCCCCUCGGCAGUGAGAGGGGCGGGAGCCCGCGGGGGCCGCGCCCUUCUCUCGCUUCGGACUGCGCAACGCUGCGCUCUGGGCUGACAGGCGGAUAAAACGGUCCCAUCAAGACUGAGAAAAAGCACACCAGCUAUUGGCACAGCGUGGGCAGUGGGGCCUACAGGAUGACUGACUUAGUCUACAGAGAUCCCGGCGUACUUAAGCAGGUAGUAAUGAUGGACAGAUGAAGACUCUUAAGAUGACAGAAGGUGAUUUUUCUGGUGAUCGAGGACUUCCGGGGUAAUGACAGUGAUGAAAUGCAGGGGACCUGGUAGGUUUCUUUUGGAGACUAACUGGGGGCUGCCUGGUGGGACAGAACAGCAUGUUUCCAAGGGCUGUGGCUGGUCAUAGCCAUGGGAUCUCCAACUGCAUGCAAGAGCAACCUGGAAAGACUUUGACAGCGCAGGUCAGUACAAUACCUGCAAGCUGCCACUCAGCUUUCCUAUAAUGUUUCAGGACCAGGGCUGGAAGCCUUCCAUGUGUCAACUUCAAUGUAGAUGGGUUUUUUUUUUUUUUUUUUUUUGAGACGGAGUCUUGCUCUGUCACCCAGGCUGCUGGAGUGCAGUGGCAUGAUCUCGGCUCAUGGCAACCUCUGCCUCCUGGGUUCAAGCGACUCUCCUACCUCAUCCUCCCGAGUAGCUGGGAUUACAGGUGCCCACCAUCACACCCAGCUAAUUUUCUUGUAUUUUUAGUAGAGAUGGUUUUCACCAUGUUGGCUAGAUGGGUCUCGAACUUCUGACCUCGGGUGAUCCGCCCGACUCGGCCUCCCCUUCCAAAGUGCUGGGAUUACAGGCAUGAGCCACCGCUCCUGGCCAGUUUAGUUUUCACGCUAAGCUUUUUGUUCUGCAGGUUGCCCCCAAGUUUCCUGGCAGUGUGUGAUACUGAGGAGGUGAGCUUGUUUCUGGAGCUGUGCUUUAAGGUAAAGUUGAUCAGCUUAAUCCUCCUGAUCCCUUUCCCAUCGGAUCUGAACACUGGUCUUGGUGGUCGUAAAAGGAGGAAAAGUAAUAGUGAAGCUGGCCUAAAUGUUGUAAUCUGGUAUAUGGCAUGUGGGCUAGUUUCAGACAGGUUUCAGAGAUGGUUGGAUCUCUGAAAUUGUAAAAUGAAGUAUAAUCUUAGGCUAAGGGAAGGAUGCGUGUGAAGCUCUGGAGGUUGGUAUAGUAAUAGCUGACCUAUUACUGCAUUUGGGAGGGAUCUGUCAUAGCUUCCUUGCCUCUUAAUUAAGGGUGGUGUUUUUUUCUUUUAGAUUCAUGUUACAUGUAAAGCUGUCCUCAUUUGUGACUAUGGACCUAUGGAGUUGGGACAAUCUCUAUGGGAAGCAGAAGGCAAGGACCCCGGUCAUUUUAGGUAGAAACAACAGCAUGCUAAUGCAAAAAAUUAUGCAGUGUGCUACUGAACUUCAGAGGUGAUCAAUAAAAGAAGAAUAAAAAGACUAAUAAAAGUAUAUUUGUGUUUGUAUUUUUUUGUAGAGACCGAACUGGUCUCUU